rnacentral:rRNA from 1 species
ACUUACCUGAGUACUACGAACAAUCAAAGUUUAAAACUCAAAGGGCUUGGCGGUGCCUUAAACUUUUUAGGGGAACCUGUCUCAUAAUCGAUAGUCCACGCUAAACCUUCCCUUUUUUUGUUUAAUACAGUAUGUAUACCGUCGUCGUCAGGUAACUUUUAAUAAAUAUAAAAGUUAGCGCUUAUAGAUUACAUAGUCUUAGACGUCAGAUCAAGGUGCAGCUCAUAAAAUGGAGAGGAUGGGUUACAAUUAUGAUUUAUAAUUACGGAUAUAAAUUUGAAAUAAUUUAAUGAAGGAGGACUUAAUAGUAAGAAAUUUAUAUAAAAUUUCUGAACAAAGCUCUAAGGCGUGCACACAUCGCCCGUCACCCUCG